AGUUUAUAGUACAGUAUUGGAAACAAGAGAAAGUGCAGAAGAAGGCAGUACAAUGCAUAAGAGUGAAAUGAGGAACGGCUGUUGAUGUAUAUUUUUUCUAAAAAGCAGGUUCAACUAUCUGGGAUAUACAUCCCCUUACCUGAUCUAUUAGGGCUUCC